rnacentral:rRNA from 1 species
UACGUAGGGUGCAAGCGUUGUCCGGAAUUAUUGGGCGUAAAGAGCUUGUAGGCGGUUUGUCGCGUCUGCUGUGAAAUUUCGGGGCUCAACCCGAACUUGCAGUGGGUACGGGCAGACUAGAGGUGUGGUAGGGGAGACUGGAACUCCUGGUGUAGCGGUGAAAUGCGCAGAUAUCAGGAAGAACACCCGUGGCGAAAGCGGCUCUCUGGAACGGUACUGACGCUGAGACGCGAAGCGUGGGGAGCGAACAGGAUU